rnacentral:rRNA from 1 species
CUCAGAUUGAACGCUGGCGGCAUGCUUUACACAUGCAAGUCGAACGGCAGCGCGGGCUUCGGCCUGGCGGCGAGUGGCGAACGGGUGAGUAAUAUAUCGGAACGUACCCAGAAGUGGGGGAUAACGUAGCGAAAGUUACGCUAAUACCGCAUACGAUCUACGGAUGAAAGUGGGGGACCGCAAGGCCUCAUGCUUUUGGAGCGGCCGAUAUCUGAUUAGCUAGUUGGUAGGGUAAAGGCCUACCAAGGCGACGAUCAGUAGCUGGUCUGAGAGGACGACCAGCCACACUGGAACUGAGACACGGUCCAGACUCCUACGGGAGGCAGCAGUGGGGAAUUUUGGACAAUGGGGGCAACCCUGAUCCAGCAAUGCCGCGUGAGUGAAGAAGGCCUUCGGGUUGUAAAGCUCUUUUGUCAGGGAAGAAACGGCUGGGGCUAAUAUCCUCGGCUAAUGACGGUACCUGAAGAAUAAGCACCGGCUAACUACGUGCCAGCAGCCGCGGUAAUACGUAGGGUGCAAGCGUUAAUCGGAAUUACUGGGCGUAAAGCGUGCGCAGGCGGUUUCGUAAGUCUGAUGUGAAAUCCCCGGGCUUAACCUGGGAAUUGCAUUGGAGACUGCGAGGCUAGAAUCUGGCAGAGGGGGGUAGAAUUCCACGUGUAGCAGUGAAAUGCGUAGAGAUGUGGAGGAACACCGAUGGCGAAGGCAGCCCCCUGGGUCAAGAUUGACGCUCAUGCACGAAAGCGUGGGGAGCAAACAGGAUUAGAUACCCUGGUAGUCCACGCCCUAAACGAUGUCUACUAGUUGUCGGGUUUUAAUUAACUUGGUAACGCAGCUAACGCGUGAAGUAGACCGCCUGGGGAGUACGGUCGCAAGAUUAAAACUCAAAGGAAUUGACGGGGACCCGCACAAGCGGUGGAUGAUGUGGAUUAAUUCGAUGCAACGCGAAAAACCUUACCUACCCUUGACAUGUCAGGAAGUCCGGAGAGAUC